UCGUGCUAGAUGGGGAGAUAGCGGUGCCCUGUACCCGCAAUCCGCUAUAGCGGGAUUGAAUUCCCAUCCAGAGGUCUUCGCACCUCUUGUUCGACCGGAGCAAAGUGGCGCUGAAGACCGGAUUCUGCGCAAUCAAGAACUUCUGAACCCCGUCAGGACCGGAAGGUAGCAGCGGUAGGAAUAUCUCUUGGUGUGCCGCAGAGUUGUCCGGUUGGAGCUAACUGGCUCUGGGCAGACCUGAGGNNNNNNNNNNACCUGAGGGCGGGAUCGAAGAUGGGUGCACGG
rnacentral:SRP_RNA from 1 species